CACGUUGGCUCACUAUUAUGGAGGUGCCAAAAACUGACAAGAGUUUUGAGGAGAGGCUGAUCUUCAAGACAUUCAUAUUGAAGUUCGCAAAUGCAUUUACCCCUAUUGUGUACCUGGCAUUCUUCAGAGGCAGGUGAGAGUAUUGGUAUCAAGGAGUCACUCUGAAACUGAACGGUAUCAGAUACUUGGUUAUUAACAAAUCUACAAUAGGAUUUCCAUUUGUUAGAGCGACAAGCUGUUUCCAAACCUAGUGAGCUGCCCUGCUGUCUAAGUGACUGAUUUGGAACAAAGUACAGUAUAGACAGCUGCUCCUUGCAGAAAGUGCUUCUCACAUGAAAAACAUAAAAAUAAUAUUAAAAUAAUAGAGACUGGGAGUAGGUGUGGUGUGUUAGUGGUUAUGUGGGUACACUUAAUGUCACCACACUCUGGAUCAUUUGCACAGGUAGUGCAUAUAGGAAGGUUGGACCAUUGCAGUAGUCCUGUCUGGAGAUGACAACAGCCUUGAAAAGGAAUUGUCCAGCAUGCUUUAUUCCCAAAUCCAUGUAUCUGGAUGAUAUGUCCCAGUGAUUGUUGUGUACACUGAAAAGUGUUAGGGGCCUAAUACUGAGCCCUGGGGUACCCCCAUGGAUAGUUGAUGUGAUUUAAAUCCUGCUCACUUCUCAGAUACCUUAUAAAUAGUAGAGUCUGAUGAUUUACACUUGCAGACAUAUCCAGCAGAAUGAAGACAACUAAUCUAGAGGCAGCUUUUGCCAGCCGCAGGGCUUCAGUGACAAGUUCUCUGAUUAAUUUCUGCUUUUGAAAAGACUCUUGCUACUCAUUUUACCAGGAACCUUCUAUUGCUGCCAUUUUGUCUCUGAAGUUUGGUCUUACGAAGAACAUCAGAUGUUCAGGGGUUAGUGGGCGUUUUGCGCAAACAGGCCUGGAGGAGAGAGGACAGAUGCUGUCUAGACAAGAUGUUCAAGUGGAUUUAAAUGCAUCAUUUACAUAAGAGAGGAGGAGCUUUUAGCUGGGUGAACAGAGGUGGGCGAUCAUAGAAACAAGUAUGAGGGAGUGGAGGUUAUGUUGAAAGAAAACCAGCAAAGAGUGUGCAGCAGGCAAGGUGGAAAUCGCAAAUGUUCAAUGGAGUACCAAGGAAAUUGUCUGUGGUACAGUUACUUGUGUAAAUGAGGCUCAGUGGGUUUCCUGAUUUGUAAGUUGGUAAAUUGUUGAGGUCAAACAAGGCUAGGAGAGCUUAGAAGGACACAGCAUGAGGCUUAUCCGGGUGAAUGUUUAAUUAACCAAGAACCACAGCUGGGCUGCCAUCUUCAGGGUAGGAAGAUAAUAGCACAUCCAGCUCUUCUGAAAAGUUCCCCAGCUGACAUGUAGGACGAUAUAUAACAAACAAUAACAUUUUGUCUUAGUAAUUGCAUGCAAUUCAAAGGGAUUAUUGAGAGCUGUCUGAUUUGUUUACUCCUGACUUGCAGUUUGAUUUGAUGAGCAAGUUGCAAAGAGAUGACAGAUUUGGCAUAUUGCAUUGUCUAUUGCAUCUGAAGGAGGGUUGUACGCAUGGUGAACAAAAAUCAACAAAUAAAGGAGAAAAAAGGUAGAAAUAAGUGCCUUGC
ensembl:lncRNA